GUUCAAUUUGGAUUGGAGAUCUCUUGAAUCUACGACAGCUUGCAGAUGGUGACCCCAGUGGAAAGACUCUCUAUGUCAGGCUUGCAGCUUCUGAGUUUUCAAGCUCUAAAAGUAAUAAGGGAGUAGUUAUUGGAGCGGUUGUGGGUUCGGUGGUGUUGGUAGUUCUAAUUGGUUUCGUUCUGUUUGUGAUCUUGAGGAGGAAGAGAACAAUCAGACCUGGCAAAGUGGUAGAGGGUUCACUGGUCGCUUAUGGGUACAGAGAUUUACAAAAUGCAACAAAGAAUUUCUCGGAGAAACUUGGUGGAGGAGGUUUUGGUUCUGUUUUCAAAGGGAUGUUGCCAGAUUCAAGUGUCAUUGCUGUUAAGAAGCUCGAAAGCAUCAGCCAAGGUGAGAAGCAAUUCCGCACAGAGGUCAGCACAAUUGGGACAAUCCAACAUGUCAAUCUUGUUCGUCUUCGUGGGUUCUGCUCCGAGGGAACUAGAAAGCUGCUGGUUUAUGAUUAUAUGUCAAAUGGCUCUCUUGAUUCCCAUCUUUUCUGUGAAAGAAGCUCUAACGUCCUAGACUGGAAUGCCAGGUACAAUGUUGCUUUGGGGACGGCAAGAGGUUUGACAUAUCUCCAUGAGAAAUGCAGGGAUUGCAUUAUACACUGCGAUAUAAAGCCAGAGAACAUCCUUUUAGAUUCUGAAUUUUGCCCAAAAGUGGCAGAUUUUGGUCUGGCAAAGCUUGUUGGCAGGGACUUUAGCAGGGUACUAACAACCAUGAGAGGGACUAGAGGUUAUCUUGCACCUGAGUGGAUUUCCGGAGUGGCUAUAACAGCAAAAGCUGAUGUUUACAGUUAUGGAAUGAUGCUUUUUGAAAUUAUAUCAGGGAGGAGAAAUUCUGAGCAAUCUGAAGAUGGAACGGUGAAGUUCUUCCCAUCUUGGGUUGCAAGACAAAUAACUGAAGGCGGUGACGUCCUUAGCCUACUAGAUCCCAGGUUGGAGGGUAACGCUGAUCAGGAUGAGUUAACAAGAGUUUGCAAAAUUGCUUGCUGGUGCAUCCAAGAUGAUGAAACACAAAGGCCAUCAAUGGGACAGGUAGUUCAGAUACUGGAGGGAGUCUUGAAUGUGAACCUGCCUCCAAUUCCAAGAUCUCUCCAAGUGUUUGUUGAGAACCAGGAGCACAUAGUUUUCUUCACAGAAUCAUCCUCUAGCCAGAGUUCACAUCAGGCACAAGGUAACACCUCCGCUGCUUCCUCACAGAACAAGAGCAUCACAUCAUCUGUUAGUUCCCAGUCUUAAGAGAAGAUCAAAGCAGCAAGUUGUCGAGCACAUACCUUGGAUUAAGUGUGUGAUUCUACUUUUU
rnacentral:misc_RNA from 1 species